GGGUCAGGAGAGGGCCGGGAGGGCCGGACCCGCCGGCUCCGGUGCCCGCGUGGGGGCAGGGCCGGGGCCUGGGGGCGGGGAGCCGGACACAGGAACGUGGAGGUGAGGGGCCUCAGUCCCCUCAGGCGCGUCCCCGAGCAGCGGCUGUCCGGCCCCGGCCCGCUCCCGCCCAGUCGUCCCUUCUCUGUCCGCUGUGCCGCCCGCGUACCCCCGACCGCACCCCACCGGCCGGCCGGUAGCGCCGACCGCACUUGGCCCGGCCCGGGACUCGGCGCCCGGCGCGGACGUCGGGGCUGGCGCGGCGAGGACCCAGCGACUGGGUCUCGGCCCCGCCCCCGCCUCGGCCCUCCCGCGUUACCGGCACACGGCUCCCGGGGCAGCCUGCGGCGCGCGGCCGUCCGUCCGUCUGUCCGGGGCAGCCCGCUCCGAGCGGCCGCGACGGGAGGCUCCGGCCGCUCUGGGCUCGCGUCGCUGCCGUGGCCGAGGCGACCGCGGUGUGCGUGCGGCCCCCGGGCUCGCCCGGCCCUGCCGCCCUCCCCCGUGCCCUGCUCCGGUGCCCUCGUCCGCGUGCUCACCUUACCAGUCGGACGGGCGGCCGGGGGAGGGCCGGGCGCCGCUCCGCGCGUCCUUUUGAACUCGCCGGGGGCGGGAACGGCGGAGAUUCGCGGACAGGGGCCGCGGAGCGGGAGGAAGCGGGACGGACGCGCCGAGCGAGCUGCGGAGGCCGGCCGGGAGGGGGGGUGGAGGGACCGGCCGACUGGGUGGGACAGGAAAAGAGGAGAGAAACCGCCCUCUGCAGGUUCCCUCUGCCCGCCCGGCGGCCGCUGCUCCCCCGGGAGGAAAGGCUGCUUUUCCUUGUCCGAUUGUCACUUUACUCUUCGUCCGGAGCCGCUUCCUCCCUCGCCCCGAGGCUCCAGACGGCGUGCGAUCGGAACUGGGAUAACUGGGAUCUGUCCGCUUGCCCCCAUCGACGUUAAUUUGAAUUUCCAGCAAAUGUGGAAAGUUACAUUUACUUGCGUUUGCAUAUCGUUUACGUAA
rnacentral:lncRNA from 1 species